CCAUAUCCACACCCUGGAGGGUUUUGGAUUUGUUCCGAGUGGGGACUGCUGUGCUUCAAAGAAAAAAAAAAAAAGGUCGGUUUUCCCUUGAAUUUUUAGCCAGGUUUAUGUCUUUGCACACGAAGGCUUAAAAAAAUAAGAGCGUUGAAAUAGUGAAAAAUUUAAUAAAUUACCUUUUUCAAGAAGGUAUCUCUUGUCUUUCGAAUGGAAGAAAAACCCACCCAAGUCCAAAAAGUAAUGUGCAUUGGAAAUUUGGGGGACCCCCCGAAUUUUUAAACGUCUUCGGGCCUUUUUGAUUUUCAAGGGAGCAUCCCGGUUUGGGGUCGUUUAAAACCCCCAAACACCCUCGUCUUUAAAU
rnacentral:misc_RNA from 1 species